UUUUACUUACAACUGUGUGAUGCAGGUCAUGUUCAAGGAAAAAAAAAAAAUCUGCUUAUAAAUAUUUAGAUGAUAAAACAAUUCUAGGGUUCAUAUUUUUGGUUGGUUUAGAAUUUAGAUGCAGGUCAUGUCAUUUUUGGUUGGUUUAGAAUUUAGAUGCAGGUCAUGUCAUUUUUGGUUAGCAUAUCAUGUCAAAUUUCGUGGAAAUUAAAUCAAACAACUAAUCUCUGACACAUCUGGUGCAAGACAAUUCCACAUGCAGCAUGCUGCUGCUGCAAUGCCCUUUCUGCUUUUUACAUCUCACUCUGAAUUCCCUGGUUUUUAAUUUGCAAUUAUCCUUGUUCACUCUCUGCCAUUAUUUCAAGUGGCCUUCAC
rnacentral:lncRNA from 1 species